rnacentral:tRNA from 2 species
GCCAACUUAGCUCACCUGGUAGAGCAGCGCCCUCGUAACGCGCAGGUACUCGGUUCAAGUCCGGGAGUUGGCUCUA